rnacentral:rRNA from 1 species
GACGUAGGGCGCGAGCGUUGUCCGGAUGUAUUGGGCGUAAAGAGCUCGUAGGCGGCUCAGUAAGUCGGGUGUGAAAACUCCAGGCUCAACCUGGAGACGCCACCUGAUACUGCUGUGGCUAGAGUCCGGUAGGGGAGCAUGGAAUUCCUGGUGUAGCGGUGAAAUGCGCAGAUAUCAGGAGGAACACCAGUGGCGAAGGCGGUGCUCUGGGCCGGAACUGACGCUGAGGAGCGAAAGCGUGGGGAGCAAACAGG